rnacentral:rRNA from 1 species
GUGGGGAAUUUUGGACAAUGGGCGAAAGCCUGAUCCAGCCAUGCCGCGUGUGUGAAGAAGGUCUUCGGAUUGUAAAGCACUUUAAGUUGGGAGGAAGGGUAGUAACCUAAUACGUUGCUACUUUGACGUUACCGACAGAAUAAGCACCGGCUAACUUCGUGCCAGCAGCCGCGGUAAUACGAAGGGUGCAAGCGUUAAUCGGAAUUACUGGGCGUAAAGCGCGCGUAGGUGGUUUUGUAAGUUGGAGGUGAAAUCCCCGGGCUCAACCUGGGAACUGCCUCCAAAACUGCAUGACUAGAGUACGGUAGAGGGUAGUGGAAUUUCCUGUGUAGCGGUGAAAUGCGUAGAUAUAGGAAGGAACACCAGUGGCGAAGGCGACUACCUGGACUGAUACUGACACUGAGGUGCGAAAGCGUGGGGAGCAAACAGGAUUAGAUACCCUAGUAGUCC